rnacentral:rRNA from 1 species
UAGGGAAUAUUGGGCAAUGGAUGCAAGUCUGACCCAGCCAUGCCGCGUGCCGGAUGAAGGCCCUCAGGGUUGUAAACGGCUUUUAUUCGGGAAGAAGAGCAGGGAUGCGUCCUUGUGUGACGGUACCGAAUGAAUAAGCACCGGCUAACUCCGUGCCAGCAGCCGCGGUAAUACGGAGGGUGCGAGCGUUGUCCGGAUUUAUUGGGUUUAAAGGGUGCGUAGGUGGCUUAAUAAGUCAGUGGUGAAAUACAGCCGCUCAACGGUUGAGGUGCCAUUGAUACUGUUAAGCUUGAAACAAGUGGAGGCUGCCGGAAUGGAUGGUGUAGCGGUGAAAUGCAUAGAUAUCAUCCAGAACACCGAUUGCGAAGGCAGGUGGCUACGUUUGAUUUGACACUGAGGCACGAAAGCAUGGGGAGCAAACA